rnacentral:rRNA from 1 species
UACGUAGGGUGCAAGCGUUGUCCGGAAUUAUUGGGCGUAAAGAGCUCGUAGGCGGUCUGUCGCGUCGGCUGUGAAAUCCCGGAGCUCAACUCCGGGUCUUGCAGUCGAUAACGGGCAAACUGGAGUACUGCAGGGGAGACUGGAAUUCCUGGUGUAGCGGUGAAAUGCGCAGAUAUCAGGAGGAACACCGGUGGCGAAGGCGGGUCUCUGGGCAGUAACUGACGCUGAGGAGCGAAAAGCGUGGGGAGCGAACAGG